UACGUAGGGUGCGAGCGUUGUCCGGAAUUACUGGGCGUAAAGAGCUCGUAGGUGGUUUGUCGCGUUGUUCGUGAAAACUCACAGCUUAACUGUGGGCGUGCGGGCGAUACGGGCAGACUGGAGUACUGCAGGGGAGACUGGAAUUCCUGGUGUAGCGGUGGAAUGCGCAGAUAUCAGGAGGAACACCGGUGGCGAAGGCGGGUCUCUGGGCAGUAACUGACGCUGAAGCACGAAAGCGUGGGGAGCAAACAGG
rnacentral:rRNA from 1 species